UAACACAUGCAAGUCGAGCGGUAACAGAAAGAAAGCUUGCUUUCUUUGCUGACGAGCGGCGGACGGGUGAGUAAUGCCUGGGAAUAUGCCUUAGUGUGGGGGAUAACUAUUGGAAACGAUAGCUAAUACCGCAUAACAUCCUUGUUCAUUACGAGCGGGACCAAAGAGGGGGACCUUCGGGCCUCUCGCGCUAAGAUUAGCCCAGGUGGGAUUAGCUAGUUGGUGAGGUAAAGGCUCACCAAGGCAACGAUCCCUAGCUGGUCUGAGAGGAUGAUCAGCCACACUGGAACUGAGACACGGUCCAGACUCCUACGGGAGGCAGCAGUGGGGAAUAUUGCACAAUGGGGGGAACCCUGAUGCAGCCAUGCCGCGUGUAUGAAGAAGGCCUUCGGGUUGUAAAGUACUUUCAGUCGUGAGGAAGGCAUUGUAGUUAAUAGCUGCAGUGCUUGACGUUAGCGACAGAAGAAGCACCGGCUAACUCCGUG
rnacentral:rRNA from 1 species